AACCGMCCUGGCUCACACCGGUUUAAACUCAGAUCAUGUAAAAUUUUAAAGGUCGAACAGACCUUCCUUACUAGCUUCUACACCAAUAAUUUAUUUUAAUCCAACAUCGAGGUCGCAAUCUAUUUAAUUGAUAAGAACUCUCUAAAUAAUUACGCUGUUAUCCCUAAGGUAAUUUAAUCUUAUAAUCUACAUUUAGGAUCAUUUAUUUACAAAUCAGUAUAUUUCUAAAAAAAAGUUCUAUUAAUUUUUCUAUCACCCCAACAAAAUAUAUAAAUCAAUUUUUAAAAUACUAAUUCCUUAAAUUAUAAACUUAGUUUAUAUAUAAAACUCUAUAGGGUCUUCUCGUCUUCUAUAUCCAUUUAAGCUUUUUUACUUAAAUAUAAAAUUCUAUUAAAUUUUUUAAGAGACAGAAAUUUUUUCAUUAAACCUUUCAUUCCAGCUUCCAAUUAAAAAACUAAUGAUUAUGCUACCUUUGCACGGUCAAUAUACCGCGGCCAUUCAAUUCAUCAGUGGGCAGGUCAAACUUAUUAUUAUAUUCAACAAGCCAUGUUUUUAAUAAC
rnacentral:rRNA from 1 species